GACGAACGCUGGCGGCGUGCCUAAUACAUGCAAGUUGAGCGCUGAAGGUUGGUACUUGUACCAACUGGAUGAGCAGCGAACGGGUGAGUAACGCGUGGGGAAUCUGCCUUUGAGCGGGGGACAACAUUUGGAAACGAAUGCUAAUACCGCAUAAAAACUUUAAACACAAGUUUUAAGUUUGAAAGAUGCAAUUGCAUCACUCAAAGAUGAUCCCGCGUUGUAUUAGCUAGUUGGUGAGGUAAAGGCUCACCAAGGCGAUGAUACAUAGCCGACCUGAGAGGGUGAUCGGCCACAAUGGGACUGAGACACGGCCCAAACUCCUACGGGAGGCAGCAGUAGGGAAUCUUCGGCAAUGGACGAAAGUCUGACCGAGCAACGCCGCGUGAGUGAAGAAGGUUUUCGGAUCGUAAAACUCUGUUGGUAGAGAAGAACGUUGGUGAGAGUGGAAAGCUCAUAAAGUGACGGUACCUACCCAGAAAGGGACGGCUAACUACGUG
rnacentral:rRNA from 1 species